GACGAACGCUGGCGGCGUGCUUAACACAUGCAAGUCGAACGGAAAGGCCCUGCUUUUGUGGGGUGCUCGAGUGGCGAACGGGUGAGUAACACGUGAGUAACCUGCCCUUGACUUUGGGAUAACUUCAGGAAACAGGGGCUAAUACCGGAUAGGAGCUCCUGCUGCAUGGUGGGGGUUGGAAAGUUUCGGCGGUUGGGGAUGGACUCGCGGCUUAUCAGCUUGUUGGUGGGGUAGUGGCUUACCAAGGCUUUGACGGGUAGCCGGCCUGAGAGGGUGACCGGCCACAUUGGGACUGAGAUACGGCCCAGACUCCUACGGGAGGCAGCAGUGGGGAAUAUUGCACAAUGGGCGGAAGCCUGAUGCAGCAACGCCGCGUGCGGGAUGACGGCCUUCGGGUUGUAAACCGCUUUCGCCUGUGACGAAGCGUGAGUGACGGUAAUGGGUAAAGAAGCACCGGCUAACUACGUGCCAGCAGCCGCGGUGAUACGUAGGGUGCGAGCGUUGUCCGGAUUUAUUGGGCGUAAAGGGCUCGUAGGUGGUUGAUCGCGUCGGAAGUGUAAUCUUGGGGCUUAACCCUGAGCGUGCUUUCGAUACGGGUUGACUUGAGGAAGGUAGGGGAGAAUGGAAUUCCUGGUGGAGCGGUGGAAUGCGCAGAUAUCAGGAGGAACACCAGUGGCGAAGGCGGUUCUCUGGGCCUUUCCUGACGCUGAGGAGCGAAAGCGUGGGGAGCGAACAGGCUUAGACACCCUGGUAGUCCACGCUGUAAACGGUGGGUACUAGGUGUGGGGUCCAUUCCACGGGUUCCGUGCCGUAGCUAACGCUUUAAGUACCCCGCCUGGGGAGUACGGCCGCAAGGCUAAAACUCAAAGGAAUUGACGGGGCCCCGCACAAGCGGCGGAGCAUGCGGAUUAAUUCGAUGCAACGCGUAGAACCUUACCUGGGUUUGACAUGGAUCGGGAGUGCUCAGAGAUGGGUGUGCCUCUUUUGGGGUCGGUUCACAGGUGGUGCAUGGCUGUCGUCAGCUCGUGUCGUGAGAUGUUGGGUUAAGUCCCGCAACGAGCGCAACCCUUGUUCACUGUUGCCAGCACGUUAUGGUGGGGACUCAGUGGAGACCGCCGGGGUCAACUCGGAGGAAGGUGGGGAUGACGUCAAGUCAUCAUGCCCCUUAUGUCCAGGGCUUCACGCAUGCUACAAUGGCUGGUACAGAGAGUGGCGAGCCUGUGAGGGUGAGCGAAUCUCGGAAAGCCGGUCUCAGUUCGGAUUGGGGUCUGCAACUCGACCUCAUGAAGUCGGAGUCGCUAGUAAUCGCAGAUCAGCAACGCUGCGGUGAAAAAGUUCCCGGGGCU
rnacentral:rRNA from 1 species